rnacentral:rRNA from 1 species
AAGGAUCUAAGUCCUACCUUAAGCUUAUUCUAUACUAAAAAUGUUUUUUAAACUUAAGAGCUAUUCAAAUAAGGUACAGCCUAUUUGAAACAGGAAACAACCUAGACAACGGGGUAAUAAACAACAGCACAUGUCCAAGUGGGCCUAAAAGCAGCCAACUUUAAAAAAGCGUUAAAGCUUCGACAUUAGCUUCUACAAUCCCAACCUCCACCUACAACCCCUAUUCAGUAUUAAAUAACCCUAUAACCCUAUAGGAGCUAUUAUGCUAAUACUAGUAACAUGAAGAAGACCUUCUCCUAAAUGCAUGUAUAAGCCAAAAAGAACAACUCGUUGGCAUUUACCGUUAUUGAACCUAAAGCAACAACCCCUCAAGAAAACAUUGCUUACUCCAACGUUAAUCUUACACAAGAGCAUCCCAGGAAAGAUUGAAAGAAGUAGAAGGAACUCGGCAAAACUUAACCCCGCCUGUUUACCAAAAACAUCGCCUCCUGAAAACAUAGGAGGUCUAGCCUGCCCAGUGACCACGUUAAACGGCCGCGGUACCCUAACCGUGCAAGGCGG